rnacentral:rRNA from 1 species
CGCCUUGCCAGCCCGCUCAGAAACUUAAAGGAAUUGACGGGGACCCGGCACAAGCGGUGGAUGAUGUGGAUUAAUUCGAUGCAACGCGAAAAACCUUACCUACCCUUGACAUGUACGGAACCCUGCUGAGAGGUGGGGGUGCUCGAAAGAGAGCCGUAACACAGGUGCUGCAUGGCUGUCGUCAGCUCGUGUCGUGAGAUGUUGGGUUAAGUCCCGCAACGAGCGCAACCCUUGUCAUUAGUUGCUACGCAAGAGCACUCUAAUGAGACUGCCGGUGACAAACCGGAGGAAGGUGGGGAUGACGUCAAGUCCUCAUGGCCCUUAUGGGUAGGGCUUCACACGUCAUACAAUGGUCGGUACAGAGGGUCGCCAACCCGCGAGGGGGAGCCAAUCCCACAAAGCCGAUCGUAGUCCGGAUUGGAGUCUGCAACUCGACUCCAUGAAGUCGGAAUCGCUAGUAAUCGUGGAUCAGCAUGUCACGGUGAAUACGUUCCCGGGUCUU